UGGGUAUGUGUCUUAGUCCCGGCGCAGACGGUUACGUGACUAGAUCCAUACUCAGCC
rnacentral:pre_miRNA from 1 species